rnacentral:rRNA from 1 species
UACGUAGGGUGCAAGCGUUGUCCGGAAUUAUUGGGCGUAAAGAGCUUGUAGGCGGUUUGUCGCGUCUGCUGUGAAAUUUCGGGGCUCAACCCCGAACUUGCAGUGGGUACGGGCAGACUAGAGUGUGGUAGGGGAGACUGGAAUUCCUGGUGUAGCGGUGAAAUGCGCAGAUAUCAGGAGGAACACCGAUGGCGAAGGCAGGUCUCUGGGCCACUACUGACACUGAGAAGCGAAAGCAUGGGGAGCGAACAGG